rnacentral:rRNA from 1 species
CGCAGCCGCGGUAAUUCCAGCUCCAAUAGCGUAUAUUAAAGUUGUUGCAGUUAAAAAGCUCGUAGUUGAACUUCGGGAUUUGUCCAUUGGUCAGGCUUAACUGUCUGCACUGGUGUGACGAAUUCCUACCUUCUGAGGAAUUUUCAUGCCAUUAAGUUGGUGUGGGGAGGAAUCAGGACUGUUACUUUGAAAAAAUUAGAGUGUUUAAAGCAGGCUAACGUCUGAAUACAUUAGCAUGGAAUAACAAUAUAGGACGGCUGGUCCUAUUUUGUUGGUUUCUAGGAUCACCGUAAUGAUUAAUAGGGAUAGUUGGGGGCAUUAGUAUUCAAUUGUCAGAGGUGAAAUUCUUGGAUUUAUUGAAGACUAAACUACUGCGAAAGCAUUUGCCAAGGAUGUUUUCAUUAAUCAAGAACGAAAGUUAGGGGAUCGAAGACGAUCAGAUACCGUCGU